UACGAAGGGGGCUAGCGUUGCUCGGAAUCAUUGGGCGUAAAGCGCACGUAGGCGGUCCGUUAAGUCGGAUGUGAAAGCCCCGGGCUCAACCCGGGAAGUGCAUACGAAACUGGCGGACUUGAAUAUGGAAGAGGGUCGCGGAAUUCCCGGUGUAGAGGUGAAAUUCGUAGAUAUCGGGAGGAACACCAGUGGCGAAGGCGGCGACCUGGGCCAAUAUUGACGCUGAGGUGCGAAAGCGUGGGGAGCAAACAGG
rnacentral:rRNA from 1 species